rnacentral:lncRNA from 1 species
AAAAAAAAAAAAAAAAAAUCAAUGGAACUAAAAUCUUCACACAUGGCACCAGGUGUAAUCUGAGUGCCUUUGUGUUCGAAUUUCACUUGCCUCCCCUGACCCCAAACUUUCCUUCAGGACAAUCCCACGCUGACUGAGAAUGAGGCUUUGGGUGUGUGAAAGUGAACGGCUGGUGUGAGACCUGCAGGGCUGCAUCGGAUGAAGCAGAAGAUAGCGAGGGAGAGAUGCUUCUUCACAGGCUCCCGCUUCUCAGAUGGCAGCCCUCACCGUGACCGGUCAAGUACAAACCAGACAGCUAUUCAGCCCCAGCUGUGCAGAUCCCACUUCCUGGGAGUGGAGCAGAGGCUCUGCGUGGAGCAUCCAUGUGCAGUACUCUUAGGAGAGUUUGACCCAGAUACUCAUGGACCAGGCAAAGGUGCUGUUCCUCCCAGCCCAGGGCCCACCAUGAAGCAUGCCUGGGAGCCUGGUUGACUAUCUGGUAUAGUCUGCAGGAUUUAGAGUGUCUUCCCCUGACCACACGGUGUUUCUCUCUGAAAGCGGCACUUGGUACCAGCACAAACUCUGUCUUCAGAAGUCCCACCAGGUGUUUUGGGGCACCAACUAUCAGGCCUCCCGGAUGGUAUCAAGGAGCUCAAACUCACCAGGUCACCACAUCUGGACAAUGAGAGGCCAAACCCCUCACCCGCCAUGACUGCCUAACCACCCACCUGCUGCCUGUUGACUGACUCCUCUUCCUUAUCCCUCCCUAGUUCCUGUUUUCCUGCAUAGACGGGCUUUCACGGUGUUAGCCAGGAUGGUCUCAAU